rnacentral:rRNA from 1 species
AUUGAACGCUGGCGGCAGGCCUAACACAUGCAAGUCGAACGGAGUGGCGGACGGGUGAGUAAUGUCUGGGAAACUGCCUGAUGGAGGGGGAUAACGUCCGGAAACGGGCGCUAAUACCGCAUACUAUCAGAUGAGCCUAGGUCGGAUUAGCUAGUUGGUGGGGUAAAGGCCUACCAAGGCGACGAUCCGUAACUGGUCUGAGAGGAUGAUCAGACACACUGGAACUGAGACACGGUCCAGACUCCUACGGGAGGCAGCAGUGGGGAAUAUUGGAAAAUGGGCGAAAGCCUGAGCCAGCCAUGCCGUGUGUGUGAAGAAGGUCUGCGGUUUGUAAAGCACUUUAAGUUGGGAGGCGUUACCAACAGAAUAAGCACCGGCUAACUUCGUGCCAGCAGCGGCGGAAAAC